rnacentral:rRNA from 1 species
GAUGAACGCUGACAGAAUGCUUAACACAUGCAAGUCAACUUGAAUUUGGGUUUUUAACUUAGGUUUGGGUGGCGGACGGGUGAGUAACGCGUAAAGAACUUGCCUCACAGCUAGGGACAACAUUUGGAAACGAAUGCUAAUACCUAAUAUUAUGAUAAUAGGGCAUCCUAUAAUUAUGAAAGCUAUAAGCGCUGUGAGAGAGCUUUGCGUCCCAUUAGCUAGUUGGAGAGGUAACGGCUCACCAAGGCGAUGAUGGGUAGCCGGCCUGAGAGGGUGAUCGGCCACAAGGGGACUGAGACACGGCCCUUACUCCUACGGGAGGCAGCAGUGGAGAAUAUUGGAAAAUGGACCAAGAGUCUGAUCCAGCAAUUCUGUGUGCACGAUGAAGUUUUUCGGAAUGUAAAGUGCUUUCAGUUGGGAAGAAAGAAAUGACGGUACCAACAGAAGAAGUGACGGCUAAAUACGUG